rnacentral:lncRNA from 7 species
ACUAUUAUUAGAUAGCGAAUUUGCAUACUAUGCAGCAUGCAUGUUGCCGGCCGGGCGGGCUUUAGACUCCAGCUACUGCAUGCGUGCAUGCGGUGGUCCUCAUGUAUGUCGGCAUGUGUGCGUGUGUGUGUGGCAGCAGCAGCAGCAGUGAAUUCUAGUGCAGUGGUGGUGGUUGUAACGUGUAGUUUGGGGGCAGGGGCACAGUUGUGUCGAACUUGUGCGGUUGUCCCUUCCUUUUGUGACUUCCAGAAAAGGGAAUGAGGCCUGCCUGCGUGUCUGCUUUUCCA